CCCUUAGAUGUUCUGGGCUGCACGCGCGCUACACUGAUGCGCUCAACGAGUUUACGAACUUGCCCGGAAGGGUUGGUUAAUCUUUUUAAAACGCAUCGUGAUGGGGAUAGAUUAUUGCAAUUAUUAAUCUUCAACGAGGAAUUCCUAGUAAGCGCGAGUCAUCAGCUCGCACUGAUUACGUCCCUGCCCUUUGUACACACCGCCCGUCGCUCCUACCGAUUUCGAGUGGUCCGGUGAAUCUUUCGGACUGCGCGCGGCCUCGUGCCGUGUCGCGGAAAGUCAGGUAAACCUUAUCACUUAGAGGAAGGAGAAGUCGUAACA
rnacentral:rRNA from 1 species